UUGGGAAUCUUGCACAAUGGGGGAAACCCUGAUGCAGCGACGCCGCGUGGAGGAUGAAGGAUCUAGGUCUGUAAACUCCUUUUUCAUGGAAAGACUUAGGACGGUACCAUGAGAAUAAGCCCCGGCUAACUACGUGCCAGCAGCCGCGGUAAGACGUAGGGGGCGAGCGUUGUCCGGAUUUACUGGGCGUAAAGAGCGCGUAGGCGGCUUGUUAAGUGUGAAGUGAAAUCUCCAGGGCUCAACCCGGAAACUGCUUUACAUACUGGCAAGCUAGAGGAAUGCAGAGGUAAGUGGAAUUCCUGGUGUAGCGGUGAAAUGCGUAGAUAUCAGGAGGAACACCCAUGGCGAAGGCAGCUUACUGGGCAUUAUCUGACGCUGAGGCGCGAAAGCGUGGGUAGCAAACAGG
rnacentral:rRNA from 1 species